GUCAAAUUUGUAUCUGUUUGCAGAUGGUUGAAAGUAGUGCUACUGGAGAUGAAUACGAUGGAGUUAUCUUUUCUCAACUCAAUUUGAUUGACUUAGCUGGAUCUGAGAGUUCCAAAACUGAAACAACUGGAUUG